rnacentral:rRNA from 1 species
GCCUGGUAGUGGGGGACAACGUUUCGAAAGGAACGCUAAUACCGCAUACGUCCUACGGGAGAAAGCAGGGGACCUUCGGGCCUUGCGCUAUCAGAUGAGCCUAGGUCGGAUUAGCUAGUUGGUGGGGUAAUGGCUCACCAAGGCGACGAUCCGUAACUGGUCUGAGAGGAUGAUCAGUCACACUGGAACUGAGACACGGUCCAGACUCCUACGGGAGGCAGCAGUGGGGAAUAUUGGACAAUGGGCGAAAGCCUGAUCCAGCCAUGCCGCGUGUGUGAAGAAGGUCUUCGGAUUGUAAAGCACUUUAAGUUGGGAGGAAGGGCAGUAAGUUAAUACCUUGCUGUUUUGACGUUACCGACAGAAUAAGCACCGGCUAACUCUGUGCC